UAGGUGGGUGCUGUAUAGGAUAUUGUAAAAUUAUAGUUUGGAUAUUUUCGUACCUUUUGUAUCAUGAUUUUUUGAUGGAUAGUAAAAUAUUUUUGUGUCCCGAAAGGUUUACGAUUUUAUUUAGUUUAAUUCUUUAGCUGAUAUUUUCGGUUAACGGGGUUAGAGAAUAUUAGGUGAAUAUCUUGAGAAACUAUUAUAGGAAGUGAUAAAUUAUUCGUGUAAUCUUAUAUCUGGUUAAUGACUUAAAUAUCGAAGAGAGUGGAAUAUUGGUUGUGCUUAUUUUCUAGAACAGAGAUAAUAAUAGGGGAUUAAUAUUUUUGGCUUAGAUUAAGAUUGUCUUUGGUUAAAUGAGUUAUUUACCUAGCUUAUUAUAUAGUGGUUAAUUAUCUUGUGUAAUAAAAGUCAUUUAGAUGAAUUUGUUGUAGAAAAAUGAAAGAAUAAGUAGGUUUAUUUUUAGUAGUAAUUGUUUUUUUUUUCGGAGAUUGUUUUCAACUGUUUAUUAAAAACAUUUCUAUUUGGUAAGUUAUAAAUAGUAUGGCCUGCCCAAUGAACAGAUAUAUAAAUGGCCGCGGCUUUUAGCUGUGCUAAGGUAGCAUAAUAUAUAGUUUUUUAAUUGGAGACUUGUGAAUGGUUUAAUGAAAGAUGUCUAAAAUGAUGAUUUUUUCUGAAUUUAAUAUAGUGGUAAGGAAUCCAUUAUUAUAAUAUGGGACGGAAAGACCCCAAGAGCUUUACUAAAAUUAGUUUUAUUUGGGGUAAAUGUUGAUAAUUCAUUUAUUUAUAGAUCCUAAAGGAUAAAGGGUAAAGUUACCUUGGGGAUAACUGAGUAAAGAGUGGAGAGAGGUCUUAUUGAUCCAUUUGUUGCUACCUCGAUGUUGGCUUGUUGGACCUAUUUGGUGAAGAGGCUAAGAUAGGGGGUCUGUCGACUUAUU
rnacentral:rRNA from 1 species